AGAGAACUUGAUACACGACUAUUAUUAUACAGCCUUCUCACCCCUCUCUUCUCUUCUUUCUCCACUUCAAUUUCCUCAUCAUCCUUGAAUUUCUUCUUCUCAGCUGCUGCUUCCAUUCCGCAUUGGUAAUCGUCUCCUUCAUCUCCGUGGUCGUUGCCUGUUCACUUCUCUCCAUUAGACUCAACCAUGAAAGUCUUACUCAAGCCGAUAUGAUUACGUUGUAUUUCCGGUACUGCAAGCACACUCCAACUCCUCUCAGCUACAUUGAAUGUCCCGAUCUUGCCUGAACUAUUGGCGCAAUAGAAAAUCCUUCAGAGUACACUAAUUCUCUUCUAACAUGUCUUACCGUGGAAUCCUAAUUUACAUGGCAGCCAUUCUCUCCUCUCACUUAUGCUCUUCGCUCGCUACUUUGAAAUGCGCCCACCCGAGAAUAUCAACGAAACACACAGCAUCUGAUUGGAUUCCACGGUUUAAAGUUCAAUGUUCUUCCCAAAAACAUCAUCAAUUUCAACUCGAUCACAAACAGAAUAUGCAGUCAGCAGAUUCUGAGGUUGAGGAGAAUGUGGCAGUGGUCCAAGAGAAACUUAGAUCUGGGAGGUCAAUCCUUUCCUUGGUGAAAGGAUUGUAUAAUGAAGUCAAAAUAACAAGAGCUUGAUGGAGUGGGCAAUGCAGUUGUAACUUGAAGGAGGAUAGUAAUAACCAACCGGAUUUGGAGGCGGUGACGUCUAAAUGUUCAGGGAGGCCUGUGUUUUCGAUUGUGUAAGUUCUCUUACAACAUGGGUCGAACAGUUGGAAAGAAGAGUUCCAGGAGUUUAUAUUCCUUCAUGAGCCAUAGUAAUAGUAGUUCUUCGGUUUUUGGUCUGGAAUAAUGUAUAGCAUGAAGUGGGGUCCACGUGGACUCUAGUUAAAAUGUAUAGCAUAACAUGUGAAAAGCAUUAUAUAUAUAUGCAUGACUGAA